CGACCAUAUCACUACUGAAAUACCAGUUCUCCUACGAUCACCGAAGUUAAGCUACGUCAUGCUUGGUCAGUAACUAUAUGGGUGACCACUUGCGAAUACCAAAUACUGUA